rnacentral:lncRNA from 1 species
UGUAGUCGUAGUUCACUUAAUGAAAGUUGGGUACAGUAACAAACAAUAACUAGGAGAAAACAUAUCCUAAAUGUUAAUUAUUGUUCGAUUCGAUCAGUGAGAUUGAAGGAAAUAGAUCUUUUGAACAUUAGAGGCAAUGGACAAGUUUUUUUGCGUCAAAAUUUCAAAGAUGGAAACAUCUUGAUUAGAUGGGGCAAAAGUCAAAUAUAUAAAUUCGUCACAAACUUGAGUAAAGGUGUUAAGAGCUUUCAAAUUGAUAUUGGAUAACUAAAAUAUAUUGUGAAUCAUAAAAGGAGAUUUUUUUUUUUUUCUUUUUUGGGGUUAACUAGAAACUUUCACAAUGUGAAAUUAUGAACGUCAUCCUUCCAAUCAAAUUGUCCUAUGCUUAAUAUUUGAGAUUGUUAGACAAGGAUCAUCUCAAAAAAUUCCCCAUUUGGAGAAGUUUUCAUGAUUUCUUUGCUCUAUUGCUCCUUUUUCAUCUGACAUGUCAUUUCUUGUUUGCACACUCUUCUUUAAAAAGAAAUGAUAUAUAUAAUAUUGUUACCGUAGCUUGCAACAAUUAUAAAUGGCACGAAAUAAUACUUAUUGUCUGAGUCACGACAAGAUCGCUCUCUUUAAGACGUUUCGUGACACUGCCCAAAAUGUGCAAGCAGACCAUCAACCACGUCGUUCCUAGGAUAAAACAGUUCUGAUCUCUGUUAUCGAAUUCUUACUGCACUAUAAGAACCGAUCUCAAAUGUACCCACCACAAUAUGACUACCAAUGCCAAUUCUCAAAAUUCCCACAAUAUGGCAACAGUGUCAUUUCUCGAAAUACAUACAAUAUGGCUACCCGUACCAAUUCUCUUCCCACGAUACUGACUACCAUUGCAGUUCUCGAAAUGCCCACAAUUUGGCUAACCGUGCCAAUUCUUUACCCACAAUACUGACUACUAGUGUCAGUUCUCGAAAUCUCACUUUGGCUGCAUGUGCCAAUUCUUAAGUGACACAGAAAGAAAGGGGGAGAAGGUUGCCAGAAAUGUGUCGGCGAAGUAUUAGGGGGAGAAAGAAAAGUUGAGAGGAAACGCCUUCAACUUGGUGCAAGUUAUAAUGAGGGGAGAAAACCUAUAUUUAUAACAUGAGAUGUUUUCCAUGUUCCUCAUCUCUCCAAUUUCGGACUUGAGAGUUAUUUUUUUCAAAACUAUUCUAUAUGGGACUUGGAUGUUUUUUAUAUAUUUCACACCACCAUGUUCCAACAAUCCCUCACUUGAAAUUAAAAAACGAUUUCCAAGAAUAUUUGUGGUCUAAAUAAGAUUGUGCAUAAACAAAGGUGUCAUGCGACUUGAACAUCGCAUAGUGAAUAAGAUCUAGAUUUUACUAGAGUGACUCGUA